rnacentral:lncRNA from 1 species
AAUUUUUAUGACAUAAAAAUAUUUCAAAACGCAUUUAAAAAUAACUAAUAUUUAUAUUGUGGGAUUAGGUAAUUUAUAAAAUUAAUACCUAUCAUAAGUGACAAGGAGGCAUUUGUAUUUAUUAACAAAAAACACUUUUGAUUCAAAACUUCAAAUGUCUCUUUGUCACUUAUGAUAUAAAAUAAUUUUAGAAAUUACUUCAUCCAACAGUCAAAAUAUUAGUUAUUUUUAACGAAUUUUUGGAAAGUUUUUAUGCCCUAAAAAUUUGGAUAAUCAUUAAAUAAGCCUAAUUUGGUGAAUUUUGGUUUUAAGGUUUCUUAAGUGUGACAUAUUUUUUAUCAUGCAAAAUGGGUCUCCUCUAUCUGUUGUAUCACUAUAAAAUGUUUCAUGAAUUUUGAAGAUGAACUCCAUGUUGUUUUGAUCAAGAAAAGAGGGGGGGGACAUUCCAAUGGUUAUUGUUUACCGAGUUAACUGACGGAAUAGAUGAUAGUGUCAAAUAAGGAAUAGAAGUUCAAUCCAGUGUCAGAUAAGGAAGUUCAAAUUUUUCGAUGUCAAAUAAGGAAGCCUCAUUUUUACUAGGGCCAAAUAAGGAAUUUUCUCUUAUAUAUAUCAGUCGAACUUGUUGUCCUAGUGCACCCUUAUUAGCUUCGUGCCAAAUUAGGUAUGACUUGUUGCUUAGUGCAUUUUCAAAAUUAAACACCCAUAUCAUGUCAAUUUAUCUCCCAGAUUUAUUUGUUCCUAAUAAUUAUAUCCCUAUAUUUGUUGCCUUCUACCAUUAAUUUUACCUCUUUUAUGUACUACAACCAUGUGAAUUGCUGGUCCAUAUAUUUACCUUCCCAUUUCCUCCCAC